CAGUAUUUAGUUUAAUGAAAAUAUGGUAUUUGGGUUAUCAAGAUUUGUUACUGG
rnacentral:tRNA from 1 species